UACGGAGGUGGCAAGCGUUAUCCGGAAUGACUGGGCGUAAAGGGUGCGUAGGCGGUUGUCUAAGUCAGAUGUGAAAGCCCCGGGCUUAACCUGUGGACUGCAUUUGAAACUGGGCGACUUGAGUACAGGAGAGGAAGACGGAAUUUCUAGUGUAGCGGUGAAAUGCGUAGAUAUUAGGAGGAACACCAGUGGCGAAGGCGGCUUUCUGGACCGUAACUGACGCUGAGGCGCGAAAGCGUGGGGAGCGAACAGG
rnacentral:rRNA from 1 species